GCCGUCUUAACUCAGCCGGUAGAGCGCGUGGCUUUUAACCACGUGGUCGUGGGUUCGAUUCCCACAGAGGGCG
rfam:Gossypium arboreum cultivar AKA8401 contig_3175_11, whole genome shotgun sequence.